UCUCAUUUCUUUGGACUUGCUGUGGACACACCACACAGGUGCCUUUCUGCUGUUCCGGAGAGCAGAAAUAAAGAGCAGAAAUGUUUCUCUGAAAUAAAGAGAAUAGAAAUGCAGAAAUAAAGAGCAGAAAUGUUUCUCUGAACAAACCCUCAGUGUCAUUUGACUUCCUUCCUCCUGUCCGGGAGCAACACAGACCCAAUCGGUGAACUCCAAUAAGGCUACAGAAUGACAAAAAAAGAACCCCAGACGGGAAUUAUUGUGUUUAUGCUGAGGCAUCAGCUCAUUGGUAUUUGGAAAGAGAGUACAGAAGAGAAUUCUGGAUGUCAGCCUGGGCUAAUGGUAGAUUGGUUGUGGUGCAGUUUAAAAUGCCCUGUGAGUGGAAAACGACAGUGUUUAAGAUCUAGGACACAUAAAGGACUGAGCCGCCUGUUAAAUUAAAGGAUGGAUUAAUCUACAGACCUAGGAGGAGAAUGACUCCUAACAUGGAAUGAGGAGAGUCGGUUAAAGUAUGGAUUUUCUACGAAUUUAUAAAGCUAGGUACCUUACCUGAGCUGUCAAGUCAAAAGGAUACAUUUGGGCCUAAUAUUUGUAACAUUGCAACAACUAUAAAGAUGUGCCUCACCCAUGAUUUCCAUAACAUUAACAUUUUUUGCCUGGGGAAUUCCAGGAGGUGGGGGAAUCAUUUGUCCUAUUCCAAUAAUCUGCUUGCAUAGGUUUUUUGGCCAUUAAAUCCUGCCGUCCAGUCAGCGCUUCCCCUGCGUAGUUCUGCUUGGGGCUGACCUGGGCAGGAAAACAGAGUCGCAGCAGUCCUGCCGUCCGUGUGAGAUAGAGGGAUAAAUCAAGUCCAGAGACAGUUCGUUGCUAUCUCUAAAAGUGUUUAUUUACACAGCAAUAAAUCCAUCAGAACUUUCCAGCAUCUCUCCGUGCUAAAAGCACACACAGUCUCUCUGCUGCGUCUUUCAGUCAAAAGUGAAAGCAACUCUCACAGACAAAGACAGACAAAGCCUGUGACAUAUGGCCUUGCGUAAGGCCCCUCCCAGAUACAGGACACCAAGGAGUUUUAACCCUGUAAACUCCAAACUCCACACCCCCUCUUGUCCUGCAUCUGGGGAAAAUAAGCAACAAUGCUCACCCCAAACACAGACCUUCACAGAACUCCUCGUGCUUCUGGAAGGUUAACGGUUUUGUGAAACCAUCAGCGAGGUUCUUGGUUGAGGGACAGUAUUUUAGAGCAACUAGCCCCUCACGAACGCUCUGACACACAUUUUGAAAACAUAUGUCCAAAUGUUUGGUCUUGGCCUUGAAUUGCGCCGUCUCGGCCAAUUUGAGGCACGGCUGAUUGUCUUCAUGCACCACGACGGGAAGACAAUGUUCUCCACAGAGUUCCUCGACCAAACACGCAUAGAACUCCAGCUCUCUGCAAACCUCAGAUAGCGCACUGAACUCAGCUUCAGUAGAUGAAAGCGCUAUGAGACUUUGCUUCCGGGACCUCCACCCAACUACUGAGUUCCCAAACUUCACCACUAGGCCUGACACUGAUUUGCGGUCCUCAAGGUUAGCCCAAUCUGAAUCCACCCAGGCGGUCAGCUUGACACCACCCUCAGCUGACAUCUUGAGGCAAAAGUCUUUGGUAUCUUGCAGGUAACGUACCACCCGUUUAAUACCAUUCCAGGCCUGCACACUAGGACUUGAAGCCUCCCUACUGAGCAGAUUGACAGCAAACGCUAUGUCUGGUCUGCUCCACUGUGACAGAUACAGCAGACUACCCAGAGCUGACUGAAAGAGAUCAGUUUUUUCAAACACAACGCGUUCUACUUGCUGACAUUCUUUCACGUAUCCAACUUCCAUGGGUGUUCUGCAACCUGCACACUCAGACAUCCUGAACUUCUCAAGCAACUGCUCAAUCUUACCUUUCUGGCUGAGCAAAAAGCUUCCAUCUCUUGCUCUCGUUAUCUCUACGCCUAGAUACAACUUGACAUCUCCAAACUGCUUGAGCUUGAACUGUUUUCCAAGCUCCUUAGCAAACUUUUCCACUUGUUUAUCUGUCUGUGCCAUGAUCAAGAUAUCAUCAACAAAAAUCUGAGCAACUUGCUGCAUCUCAUAGAUGGAUUUGUGCAAUCACCACACGAUGCCUGGCACACUGACUUCAAACCCUGGAGGAGGAAGCAUGUACAACUCCUCCUGGAGGUCUGAGUUCAGGUAGGCAACAUCCACAUCAAAAUGGUUCACCUUCCAACCUCUCUGUGCAGCAACUGCUGAAAGCGUCCUCAAAGUCUCGGCCCUCGAGGUCGGCGAAUAAACCUCCGUGAAGUGGACACCCUUCUUCUGUGUGAAUCCUCGGGCCACUAACCUAGCUUUAUACUGUGGUUCUCCAGCUUCUGUGGGUUUAAGGCGAUAAACCCACCUGCAACUCACAGCCUGCUUGCCUGCCAGCAACUGUGUGAGUGAGAACACACCAAGAGACUCCAUUGAGUUCAUCUCCUUCUGCAUCGCCUCACGCCAUUUGCUGGCUUCUUCCUGAGGCAACUUCUGAACAUCCUCAAAGGAUUCAGGUUCACAUCUAGCCACACCUACCCAGACGCUAGUGGCUUCAUACCUUUCUGGUGGCUUUCCCUUGGUUGACCUUGCUGACCUUCUCAGCGUGAACUCUGGAACUGUGCCUGAUUCACUUGGGCCAGCCACACCAUCCCCUGUGUCAGAAACCUCCCCCUCUGACCUGCUGUGCCUUUUAGGCCUCACAGCUGGUUCUGCAGGCGAGGAUGGCUCACUCCUUGACUCAGACUUGACAGAGACCUGUGGAGGGGUCUUGGGACUCCCUUUUGGAGAGGUUCGGAGCCUCUGCCUUGGGGAUCCCGGUUCUGGACUCUGUGGCUGUGGACUGUGCACCUCAGCAACAGGUUCAGCUUUGUCCUCCUCCUCUUCUUCAUCUGAGUCAAAUAGAACAUCCGGGUUCCCGUGAAUACGUUUCCACCCACUCUGCUCGCAAAACUCAGCACUGCCGCUAAUAAGCAGCUUAGACUGGUUGCCAGCAGGGUAUGCGAAACGCCACGCCUCAAUAAAUCCAUCAGAACUUUCCGGCAUCUCUCCGUGCUAAAAGCACACACAGUCUCUCUGCUGCUUCUUUCAGACUAAAGUGAAACCAACUCUCACAGACAAAGCCUGUGACGUAAGGCCCUGCGUCAGGCCCCUCCCAGAUACAGGACACCAAUGAGUUUUAACCCUGUAAACUCCAAACUCCACAGGUUUAAUGUUAUUUGGAGACACUAACACCCAUUAAUUUCACGUUAUCUAGGUGUUUAUUCAGGUGAGGAUGAAUAAAACACUCUAGAAAGAUC